GCCGAAAGAAUAGCUAGGUUCUAGAACAAACAUGCUAUGAAUAAUUGCAUUGUUACUUCAGUGAAAAGUUCCUGGGCAUACUAUGUGUUCCUCUAGACUUGGUUGAAAGUAUUUCUUUUGUUAUCUCUCACUAGGUACCUUUGUUGAUGAAUGUUGCCUACAGGUUAUAUAGACUCACAUGAUUACCUGAUGCGGAUUCUACAACUUGGAAAACACAUCUAGAAUAUUCAAGUUGUCUGUGGUGCCCUGGAGAAAGCUUGCUACUCCAAU
rnacentral:lncRNA from 1 species